CAUGACUGGGGUGAAGUCGUAACAAGGUAGCCGUAGGGGAACCUGCGGCUGGAUCACCUCCUUAAUCGA
rnacentral:rRNA from 20 species